rnacentral:rRNA from 1 species
UGGGGAAUAUUGCACAAUGGGCGCAAGCCUGAUGCAGCCAUGCCGCGUGUAUGAAGAAGUCCUUCGGGUUGUAAAGUACUUUCAGUCGGGAGGAAGGUGUCAAGGUUAAUAACCUCAUCGAUUGACGUUACCCGCAGAAGAAGCACCGGCUAACUCCGUGCCAGCAGCCGCGGUAAUACGGAGGGUGCAAGCGUUAAUCGGAAUUACUGGGCGUAAAGCGCACGCAGGCGGUCUGUCAAGUCGGAUGUGAAAUCCCCGGGCUCAACCUGGGAACUGCAUGCGAAACUGGCAGGCUAGAGUCUGGUAGAGGGGGGUAGAAUUCCAGGUGUAGCGGUGAAAUGCGUAGAGAUAUGGAGGAAUACCGGUGGCGAAGGCGGCCCCCUGGACAAAGACUGACGCUCAGGUGCGAAAGCGUGGGGAGCAAACAGG